rnacentral:misc_RNA from 1 species
GAAAGUUGUAAUCCCUUCUACUGCAUGGUGUCUCCAUUUAUCUAAGUUGAACCUCAAUUUAUCAACAAGUCUAAAGGAAGUUGACAUAUCUUGCUCCAAUCUCAGCAUUCUGAAUUUGAGCAAUUGUAGCUCGUUGGACAUCUUGAAACUUGAUUGCCCAAGAUUGAUGAACCUCCAGUUACAGGCUUGUACCAUGCUGGAAGUGGAGGUGAUAGAAGCUGC